GGUUGUGGCUCAGUGGUAGCAUGCUUGCCUAGCAUGCAUGAGGCACUGGGUUCAAUCCUCAGCACUCA
rnacentral:tRNA from 1 species